rnacentral:tRNA from 1 species
GAGUACAUAGUUGAUAAUUGGAAAAAUACUGCCCUUCCAAGGCAAAGUUGCAGGUUUGAGUCCUGCUGUACUCC